rnacentral:rRNA from 1 species
GACGAACGCUGGCGGCGUGCCUAACACAUGCAAGUCGAGCGAGUGAAUCUCCUUCGGGAGUGAAGCUAGCGGCGGACGGGUGAGUAACACGUGGGCAACCUGCCUCAUAGAGGGGAAUAGCCUUUCGAAAGGAAGAUUAAUACCGCAUAAGAUUGUAGCUUCGCAUGAAGUAGCAAUUAAAGGAGCAAUCCGCUAGGAGAUGGGCCCGCGGCGCAUUAGCUAGUUGGUGAGGUAACGGCUCACCAAGGCGACGAUGCGUAGCCGACCUGAGAGGGUGAUCGGCCACAUUGGGACUGAGACACGGCCCAGACUCCUACGGGAGGCAGCAGUGGGGAAUAUUGCACAAUGGGGGAAACCCUGAUGCAGCAACGCCGCGUGAGUGAUGACGGCCUUCGGGUUGUAAAGCUCUGUCUUCAGGGACGAUAAUGACGGUACCUGAGGAGGAAGCCACGGCUAACUACGUGCCAGCCGCCGCGGUAACAC